rnacentral:rRNA from 1 species
AUAUCAAUAAGCGGAGGAAAAGAAACUAACAAGGAUUCCCCUAGUAACUGCGAGUGAAGCGGGAAAAGCUCAAAUUUAAAAUCUGGCGGUCUUUGGCCGUCCGAGUUGUAGUCUGGAGAAGUGCUUUCCGCGCUGGACCGUGUAUAAGUCUCUUGGAACAGAGCGUCAUAGAGGGUGAGAAUCCCGUCUUUGACACGGACUACCAGUGCUUUGUGAUGCGCUCUCAAAGAGUCGAGUUGUUUGGGAAUGCAGCUCAAAAUGGGUGGUGAAUUCCAUCUAAAGCUAAAUAUUGGCGAGAGACCGAUAGCGAACAAGUACCGUGAGGGAAAGAUGAAAAGCACUUUGGAAAGAGAGUUAAACAGUAC